rnacentral:rRNA from 1 species
UACAGAGGUCUCAAGCGUUGUUCGGAUUCAUUGGGCGUAGAGGGUGCGUAGGCGGCGCGGUAAGUCGGGUGUGAAAUCUCGGAGCUUAACUCCGAAACUGCAUUCGAUACUGCCGUGCUUGAGGACUUGAGAGGAGACUGGAAUUUACGGUGUAGCGGUGAAAUGCGUAGAUAUCGUAAGGAAGACCAGUGGCGAAGGCGGGUCUCUGGACAGUUCCUGACACUGAGGCACGAAGGCCAGGGGAGCAAACGGG